CACAGAAGAUACAUUUUGUGUUCUAAAUUAAAUUUAAUUGUUUUUUUUAUUAUUAAUUAUACUGUUUAUAUCAAGGGUUACAUGAAAACCAAGUGACAAUCUUGGAAAAAGUUUGUCUAUAUACACAGACUCCUCCUGUGUUCCAGGCAGAAGCAGCUUGUGCUCCAGCAGUCUAAUAAUACUUCUCCUCACUGUACACAUACUGAUCAUAUAAAUAUUGUUUCUGGCAUGAGAUUGAAUGCACAGUCUGUGAUGUGAAUUGCUCUCAUUUUUGCUGCAGGGCCCACAAGGAUUUCAAGGCAACCCUGGAGAAGCCGGAGAGCCCGGAUCAUCCGUAUGUAUCCAAAAACCUUCCUAAAAGACCUCAUUACUGAUGAUUACAGUCAGCCUCCCGGUGCACAAAUGCCACUUCAUUUAGCCAGAAUCAUUCUAAUUGAAAUAAGCCUCUAGAUCUUGUAUGUAGGUCAGCGAGGUGCAUCCAGCUCACUGGACUCAAUUGUGUAUUUUUGUAAUACACACACCACAAAAUCAGCACUGAAUACACUUCAGCCUUGUUCUUACCAAGUGCAGUGUUUUCACUCAUAUCUCAGAUCAUUCACGCGUCCCAUACUCUCUAAUCUCAGAUUUCUGUUUUCUCUCGACAGGGCCCAAUGGGUCCUCGUGGUCCCCCGGGUCCCUCAGGAAAACCAGGAGAGGAUGGGGAAGCAGGCAAACCUGGGAAAGCUGGGGAACGUGGACCUCCUGGGCCUCAGGUGAACCCUUUUAAAUGAAAACAGCGUUAAAGUGUUUGAUUCAUGUGAGAAGAGCAGCGAUGCAGUGACUGCUGCCCGCAGCGCUCAAGCUUUUACCCAGAUGUGAGACGCUGCUGUGGAUGCAGGCCAAAGAAAGAAGAGACGUCUGAAUACUUCCACUCACCUCAUACCUCUCUCUCUCUCUCUCUCAACACAGGGAGCUCGUGGAUUCCCAGGAACACCAGGUCUACCUGGAAUCAAGGGACACAGAGUUAGUGCAGUUUUUCAUCACGUCAUCUUUUUGUGGUCAAUCUCUGACACUACAGAUGAAUAGGAUAAACAUUCUUAACUAUCGAUAGACUUCCCCUGGUGAUUAAUCACAGUACAUUAAGACUAGAAGUAUUACAAAACUACAUUUUCACCAGAUUUUUUGGAAAGAAAAAAUAGUCUACAUCAAAUGUAAUAUGUAACAAACCCUUUGGAAAAAACUUUAGAAUAUAGACAGGAAUAAAACUAUAAUUUUGGUGUAAGUGCUGCUGAAG
ensembl:lncRNA